ACUCAAAAAUAAGCGAUAAAAAGGAAAAAAAAUAUCGAGAAAAGUUAAAAAGUAAAAAACCAACUAACCUGUAUGAGGUGGUGGGAGACUAAAAUGGAAAUAAAAGGAAAAAUGGACGAAAUGAUAGAGGACRWCAACAAAACUACGUAAAACAAAAAGGUCUUGACGGAAAGAGGGCGUAUCUAUAGUUACGGACUCAAAAAAUGUCGUCAGCAAAAUGACGUCAAAAUAAAAUAUGAGAAAGCGAUUGUAWAUGGUCAGCAGAUAUAYUUAAAAGUGAAGUGGAUGAUGCCACGUGYGAUUARCAGUGUACAAAGAGUUGGAAAAUAAUGAAGAAACGGAAAAUCUAAGAGUUUAUAUAAUGCGAUAAAAGGUGGAAGAAGACCGUUAAAAGUGAACUUYUGGUUCUUGAUGGCGUGUYUGGACUGUCGUUGCUUGGUGAAGGUUYAGUGUAAAUUGAUCGUGUCGAUYUAAACCAAUCUGAAAUAUAAGUAUUGAGGAACGGCGUAGACGAAGAAAGAGGUACAGAAAAAGAAAAGGUAGUUUCUUCAUUAGGAUCCAUCACGAGUAAGAGAUAAGUAGCUUGUAAUCGAUAAUGUAGGAGUAUGGAAGACUUGAAUAGGUGAGCAUUUGGAUAAUAACUAAGUAUGUAAAUAAUGAUAACGCUGUAGGUUUCGAAUAGAAUUUUAAAUAAAGGUGAAAUGUAAAAUCAAAACAAAACAUAGUAGAAUAAGGAUAAGGGGUCAG